AUACGGAGGACGCGAGCGUUAUCCGGAUUCAUUGGGUUUAAAGGGUGCGCAGGCGGCCGUGCAAGUCAGCGGUGAAAGCCCGGGGCUCAACCCCGGAAGUGCCGUUGAUACUGCAUGGCUGGAAUGCGGCCGAGGCGGGCGGAACGUGGCGUGUAGCGGGGAAAUGCGUAGAUAUGCCACAGAAAGCCGAUAGCGGAGGCAGCUCGCCAGGCCUGCAUUGACGCUCGGGCACGAAAGCGUGGGGAUCGAACAGGAUUAGAUACCCUGGUAGUCCACGCCGUAAACGAUGGGCGCUCGUCGUCGGCGGCAGACAGUCGGCGGCCAAGCGAAAGCGAUAAGUUAUCCACCUGGGGAGUACGACCGCAAGGUUGAAACUCAAAGGAAUUGACGGGG
rnacentral:rRNA from 1 species